UAGAGUUUGAUCCUGGCUCAGAUUGAACGCUGGCGGCAGGCCUAACACAUGCAAGUCGAGCGGAAACGACAUUAUUGAAUCUUCGGAGGAUUUAAUGGGCGUCGAGCGGCGGACGGGUGAGUAAUGCCUAGGAAAUUGCCUUGAUGUGGGGGAUAACCAUUGGAAACGAUGGCUAAUACCGCAUAAUGCCUACGGGCCAAAGAGGGGGAUCUUCGGACCUCUCGCGUCAAGAUAUGCCUAGGUGGGAUUAGCUAGUUGGUGAGGUAAUGGCUCACCAAGGCGACGAUCCCUAGCUGGUCUGAGAGGAUGAUCAGCCACACUGGAACUGAGACACGGUCCAGACUCCUACGGGAGGCAGCAGUGGGGAAUAUUGCACAAUGGGCGAAAGCCUGAUGCAGCCAUGCCGCGUGUAUGAAGAAGGCCUUCGGGUUGUAAAGUACUUUCAGUUGUGAGGAAGGGUGUGUAGUUAAUAGCUGCGCAUCUUGACGUUAGCAACAGAAGAAGCACCGGCUAACUCCGUGCCAGCAGCCGCGGUAAUACGGAGGGUGCGAGCGUUAAUCGGAAUUACUGGGCGUAAAGCGCAUGCAGGUGGUUCAUUAAGUCAGAUGUGAAAGCCCGGGGCUCAACCUCGGAACUGCAUUUGAAACUGGUGAACUAGAGUGCUGUAGAGGGGGGUAGAAUUUCA
rnacentral:rRNA from 1 species